GGUAAGAAACACGCGGUGGCUAGAACGGUUUCCUGCUUAAACGAAUUGAUUUGAUGGGUGGGUUACUGUCCCUGAAAUAGAAAACUAACAACAAGCAAAUCCUUCUCUAGGAGAGGAGCAUUGGCUAAAACCGUCACUCUGUAUUUCUUUGAAGUUUUUAUCUUUUCUAUCAUAUUUACAAAGAGAAACGGUCACUUGUCUUUAACGUUACCCAGUAAAAAGCAGUAGAAAUAAGACCAAGCCUCAACAUGAUUGUCUAAAAGGUAGAAUUACUCAGUAUAAUUAUUUUUUUCUUAUUCUAUAACUGGGUUACAAACUAAGUGAUGCAUUAGGUAUUCACCCACCAUCAAAAUUGUGCUGGUGGCAAAAAUGCGUAUUUUCUUAAUCUCCAUUCCUACAUCUAUUUAGGAAAUCUGGAAGCCAUUUCCAUUUCAGUAUUUUGUUCUUAAAGUUACUUAUGCAAACAGUUUUACCUUAACAGGUUUUAAAGAAAACCUAGAGAGAUGCUAGGUAGAAUUCAGUACAGUGGUUAAGGGGUAAAGGGCAUACUGAGCCGUCUUGUGUGGUCUGACACACAGUGGGGCGUUUGAUAGCUGCCAUUUCAGAAUUGCCGUGGAGCAGAUAGCGCUCCGCUUAGACUUUGCCCCUUCACCAGAUCAGGGUCCCUUUAUGUCCCAGAACCAUAGUUUUCAUCUCAAAAAUGAACAUCAGAUCUACACCAUAGUGUGUUGUCAGAAAACAUACACGAAAUACUGACUAUGAAAGCUAUUUCUAAGUUUAGAUGGAAAUUUUUAAUGUCUUUUCUUUAAGAGAAAUGUGUGAUUUAAAAUUAUAUAACUCAUCAUAUGGUAUUCUUAAAUACCUGACUAUGAAAAUUAACCUCUCCCUAUACUCCUCAUUCAAGGAUAUUCCUAUUUUUAGGAAAUGCAAGUUUCUGGGGAAGAAUAUUUAUUUUCCUGUUUUUUAAAAUGUCCUCUAAGUGAGUUCUGUUUCCUUUGGAAGCUAUUCUGGUGCUAGUAAGAUUAACUCUCAAAAAUAUCCUUUAGUUUUCCCACUUUGUAAAACUGAAGAUCAUUUAACAAGGACUUCCUUCCCUUCAAUUUAUUAAAUACAAGUAGCGCUUCGUGUGGUUGGGAACUACCAAAGGGAGAGAAGGUAAUUUGAGUGCUGUUUUUUAUUAGUGAUCUCAAACCGCUUUAAAAUGUGUGGUUGCCUUUAUCUGUAUAGUUCUGGUAUACAAGCUGGAGUUUAGUUCUGCUUUAGGUAUCUGGACUCUUUGCAGGCCUUUCAUAGUACAUCGAUAGUGUUUUCCAAAGUCCAGUUCUUACAAUGACUCAGCUCCUCUGAACACGCAUUUCCAGUGGCAGUGCCCAGGCGCUGAGGCACGCUGAACAUGUCAUGUAUGUUCAUGUGUAUGAGUCACGUCAUCCCGGGCUCCACUUUACUGUAAACUUCACCAGGGACUCUAUAGUCAGUGUGUUUACUAUUCAAAAAUUUAAAAAAGAAAAUUUAAGCUGCCUAGAAGUUACAUAAAAAAUAGAUUACCUUUCUUGUUAUAUAUAAAGCUAUUUUAAAGAGCUACAGUUUUUAGUAAUUAUUAUAAACUAUUCACAUAAUCUUCAUCAACCUUCUGUAUACUGUUUAAAAUUAUAAAAUAACAAAAAUACUUUGUUAACCCAAAAUUGUGGUUUUCAAAUACUCUAAAUAACUUUUCAACAAUAAAAGUUCAAGUUGUCUAUCUUGCUACAUUGUCUUUGUUUUUAAAUCUUGUGAAUUUAAAACCUGUUCACUGUAUCCUCAAUACAGCUUGGCUUGUUUUUUAUGGAAAGGACAAAGGAAAAGCCAUAUAAACUCAAUUAAAAAAAAUCAGCAUGUGGAUUGAUGGUGGCACUGCAGUGUCACAGGGCCUGGCUUUGUGCCCUGGGUAAUCUUUUGAAGGCGUCAUUCUUAGAGUAUUUAGGUUGUCUAUUUUACCUCUGCUUGUGAAGGACACAGUUUUCUCUACAGCAUGGUCAGCAAUGAUCACUGGAGACUAAAUAGGGCAAGCUGCUCUUUUUUUUUUUUUUUAAUUAAAUGUAUUAAUUAUUUCUAUAUUCUAAAAUUUACAUUCUGUUUCUAAAACAUUUCUGUAAUUUUCUUUGCUGUUGUAUUUGACAAAAAUAAUUUAUAAUUAGCAUUUACAAGCUACAACUGAUUUAUUUAUUGAUUUGCUCUUUUCGAGUGCGUCUACACUUGAACACACCCC
rnacentral:lncRNA from 1 species